UACGAAGGGGGCUAGCGUUGCUCGGAAUUACUGGGCGUAAAGGGCGCGUAGGCGGCACUGUUAGUCAGGCGUGAAAGUCCUGGGCUCAACCUGGGAACUGCGCUUGAUACGGCAGAGCUAGAGGAUGGAAGAGGGCCGCGGAAUUCCCAGUGUAGAGGUGAAAUUCGUAGAUAUUGGGAAGAACACCGGUGGCGAAGGCGGCGACCUGGUCCAUUACUGACGCUGAGGCGCGACAGCGUGGGGAGCAAACAGG
rnacentral:rRNA from 1 species